CUGGGCCAGAUGAAAACUACCGAUGAUGGCCGUGCUCACCAGGUAUUUCAUCCCAGCAGCUGGUGAGAGAAAGAGCACAGUCUUCACUUGAACCAUGAGGUCCAGAUUCAAAGAAGUUCAGAAAUUUUAUCCAAGAUCACACGGCUUGUAAACGACUGAACAGGUCCAGCUGAAGCAAUCUGCCAUACUGGAGGGGCCCACAUGGCAAGGGACUGAGGGCGGCCUCCAGCUAACAGCCAGCAAAAAACUAAGUCCUGCCAACAAUCACUGAAAAAAACUUGGAAGUGGAUCCUGCCCCAGUCAAG